rnacentral:rRNA from 1 species
GACGGAGGAUGCAAGCGUUAUCCGGAAUGAUUGGGCGUAAAGCGUCCGCAGGUGGCAGUUCAAGUCUGCUGUCAAAGACCGGGGCUUAACUUCGGAAAGGCAGUGGAAACUGAACAGCUAGAGUAUGGUAGGGGCAGAGGGAAUUCCUGGUGUAGCGGUGAAAUACGUAGAGAUCAGGAAGAACAUCGGUGGCGAAGGCGCUCUGCUGGACCAUAACUGACACUCAGGGACGAAAGCUAGGGGAGCGAACAGG